rnacentral:misc_RNA from 1 species
GAUGAAGAACGCAGCAAGAUGCGAUAAGUAAUGUGAAUUGCAGAAUUCAGUGAAUCAUCGAAUCAUUGAACGCACAUUGCGCCCGCUGGUAUUCCGGCGGGCAUGCCUGUUCGAGCGUCAUUUCAACCCUCAAGCCCCCCGGGUUUGGUGUUGGGGAUCGGCUCUGCCUCACGGCGGUGCCGCCCCCGAAAUACAUUGGCGGUCUCGCUGCAGCCUCCAUUGCGUAGUAGCUAACACCUCGCAACUGGAACGCGGCGCGGCCAUGCCGUAAAACCCCAACUUCUGAAUGUUGACCUCGGAUCAGGUAGGAAUACCCGCUGAACUUAAGCAUAUCAAUAAGCGGAGGA